GUUGCCGAUGCUGUAUGGCGUGUUCACACGCCGAGGCGGCCACCUCCUCCCCUAGACACCUCGUUUUUUAGUCAGGUCUAUACCUGGAACCGUGACCACUGAGGGAAGGGUGGUCAUUGUGUGCCUAAUUAGGGAAAGGGGGCUGGUCAGGCCAAAUCCCUCCCUCCUCGUUUUUUAAGUCAUUGGGGCACUAUAUAUACCUUGGCCCUCCUGCUUCUUCUGGAGGCAUAUGUUCCAACCUCCAGGACCAGCACACCGCUCAUUUCUUUGCUCUGGAGGGAACCACGCUGAUAAGUGCGGCUUUCCCUGACCCUAUCGGUCCUUCCAUCAUAGAAAUUGACCUUCGUCCUGUGGAUGCCGUUAAACUGUUCCUUUUAAUAUAAAAGUAAAUUCCUUACUUACAAGGUUUGUUUUCCCUUAUUCUUGCACACUUUCCCCUCCCCUUCCCUGUGGUGGUCCCAUCCAUCACGGGUUCCACCCCUACGGGGGUGACCUCCUGUCGUGUGGAGCAGAGCCCCUCGGUGUGGAUGCAUGCCUGUGACAUCUGAUUCUUGGACUACCCCUGGGAGAUUCUGUCGGAUACCCCCAUUCAGCUUAGAGCAACAUACUGAGACGUUCUUUACACCCAUAUUAAGAUUUUCAAUUUGACGAAAAUAACGGAAGGAAUGAAUAGGGAGUGGUACAGCGGGCGCUCCAUAAACUUCCCAUACUGG